rnacentral:lncRNA from 1 species
AAAAAUCCAUUCAUAAAAAUCACGAGCGUUUCAACCUUGCUUCGUCUUGCCAUCCACGAUCGAGUGAACAAAUGCUCGAUCCUGUUCUUAUCUCUACGGUUGGUCUCGGUAGGAACCUUUUUCGCCUCUUCUGCUCCAGUGUUCAACCGAAGAAACCUCCGUGAUUCUUUUUUAUUUUUGAAAAAACGAGAAACCACCUCCAUCGUCUUCGAGUUCACGAGUGCAUCC